rnacentral:rRNA from 1 species
GACGAACGCUGGCGGCGUGCUUAACACAUGCAAGUCGAACGAAGUGGCGAACGGGUGAGUAACGCGUAAUCCACCUGCCCUUCAGAGGGGGACAACAGUUGGAAACGACUGCUAAUACCGCAUACUGAAGGAGGGGAUUGCGUCUGAUUAGCUAGUGGGAGGGGUAACGGCCAACCAAGGCGAUGAUCAGUAGCAGGUCUGGUAGGAUGAACUGCCACAUGGGGAAUGGGACACGGCCCAGAUUCCUACGGUAGGCAGCAGUGGGGAAUCUUCCGCAAUGGACGAAAGUCUGACGGAGCAACGCCGCGGUAGUGAUGACGGCCUUCGGGUUGUAAAGCUCUGUUAAUCGGGACGCGGUACCGGAAUAGAAAGCCACGGCUAACUACGUGCCAGCCGCCGCGGUAAUUC